rnacentral:rRNA from 1 species
CGGAUGGGUGCGUAACGCGUAGUGCAACCUACCUUAGUACAGGGGAAUAACCUUUCGAAAGGGAGACUAACACCCCAUAGUAUUGGAUUUAAGGCAUCUUUAGAUUAAUUAAAUAUUUAUAGGUAUAAGAUGGGCAUGCGUAUGAUUAGGCUAGUUGGUAAGGUAACGGCUUACCAAGGCGACGAUCAUUAGGGGUUCUGAGAGGAAGGUCCCCCACACUGGUACUGAGACACGGACCAGACUCCUACGGGAGGCAGCAGUGAGGAAUAUUGGUCAAUGGGCGCAAGCCUGAACCAGCCAUGCCGCGUGCAGGAAGACGGCCUUAUGGGUUGUAAACUGCUUUUACAUAAGACUAACCGUAUAUUUGCGAAUAUACCUGAAUGUAUUAUGAGAAUAAGGAUCGGCUAACUCCGUGCCAGCCGCCGC